rnacentral:rRNA from 1 species
AGCAGCCGCGGUAAUUCCAGCUCCAAUAGCGUAUAUUAAAGUUGUUGCAGUUAAAAAGCUCGUAGUUGAAUUUCGGGAUCAAUAUAUCGGUCGUGCCUUGGUACGUACUGGUAUCAUUGGUUUCUCCUUUCUGACGAACCAUGAUGUCAUUAAUUUGGUGUUAUGGAAAGUUAGGACUGUUACUUUGAAAAAAUUAGAGUGUUUAAAGCAGGCUUUAGUUUGAAUACAUUAGCAUGGAAUAAUGAAAUAGGACGUUCGAACCUAUUUUGUGGUUUCUAGGAUCGACGUAAUGAUUAAUAGGGAUAGUUGGGGGCAGUUAGUAUUCAAUUGUCAGAGGUGAAAUUCUUGGAUUU